CCUACGGGAGGCAGCAGUGGGGAAUAUUGCACAAUGGGGGAAACCCUGAUGCAGCGACGCCGCGUGAGUGAAGAAGUAAUUCGUUAUGUAAAGCUCUAUCAGCAGGGAAGAAAAUGACGUUACCUGAUUAAUAAGCCCCGGCUAACUACGUGCCAGCAGCCGCGGUACUAAGUAGGGGGCAAGCGUUAUCCGGAUUUACUGGGUGUAAAGGGAGCGUAGACGGGAGUUCAAGUCUUGAGUGAAAGGCGGGGGCUCAAACCCCGGACUGCUCUGGAAACUGUAAGGCUAGAGUUCAGGAGAGGUAAGUGGAAUUACUAGUGUAGCGGUGAAAUGCGUAGAUAUUAGGAGGAACACCAGUGGCGAAGGCGGCUUACUGGACUGUAACUGACGUUGAGGCUCGAAAGCGUGGGGAGCAAACAGGAUUAGAUACCCGGGUAGUC
rnacentral:rRNA from 1 species